GAGGUGGAAGAGUUGUUGUGGUGUUUUGUUGGAGGAGAGUGAGUCUAUGUGGUGUAGUUGAAGUGAGAGAGGUUCAGAGUCGGAUAGAGAUUCUUGUUCUGAUUCUUGUGGCCAUGAGAGGGUUGAAGGGUUAGGGAGAGAGUGAAUAGGUAGAGUUUGGGUUUGGAAAAGAGUGGUGGUGGUGGUGGAUGAGAGUGUGAAGGAGAUAGCUAAUAAUAGGAAGAGAAGGGUUCUUUUGUUGUAGUUCUCUUCCAUUGUAGUGAGAGUGAAGAGAAAAGAGUGUGAUAUGAGAGUAGUAGAAAUGGUGAAUAAAUAAGUAGUGGUACUAGUAGUAAGUAAUAAUUGAAUGAGAAGAGAGUGAGAGUGAGGUUCGGUGCGGUUGUGUUGAAAUGAGUGUGGGGUGGCUGAGUCAGUGCAGUGAUUGUUGUCUAACCAUAUUAGAUUACAUUACCCGUGUAAAAAUGAAUUAUUAUUAUUGCGUGUAGUUGGGUAAGGUUGGUGUUGUUGGGGUAGAGCUGGAUAUCAUUACCAGUAAUUGCUUUGCCUUUAUUGUUAUUCUAGAUAGACGGGUGAGUUAUGUUAUGGAGAAUCUUUCAUUGCUUCUUGCAAUUAGUUAUGGUAAGUAGUUACACUACCAACAAGUGGCCAAUGUCCAAUUUGCUACUACUAUGUGGCCAAUGCCCCAUGCAUUUAGUGAAUUUCUAUUCAAACUAAAUUUUGUAACUAGUUUCUUACGUUUGUUCAGAAUACUAAGUUUGUAAUUUUUAUCACUAAAGUAACAUUAAAUAUCGUUAAAAAUGUGUUAAGAAAAUAUUAUUAAUAGAUAAUUUUAUCUCUAAUGUGGCAUCUCUUUUAUUUUCUUAUAAUAUUAAACUAAUUAUUAUAGUUAUAUAAUCUUUCUGUUGAGAUAAUCAUUUAAAUUUAAAUUUAAAUUUUGCAAUUCAAAACAAAAAUUAAUAGUCAAGCGGAAACUUCUGAUAGUUGUAAGUGGAAAAAAAUAUUUUGUAAUUGAUAAAAAAAUAAUUAAUAUUUGGAUAAUUUUUUCGAAGGGAAUCAGAUGAAACCAUAAAACCAUAGAAAUUAAGUGUUUGAGAGGUUUUUUUUUACAAGAGAGGAAUGUCCAUCAUUUUUGUGGUCUUUCAAGUUCUUCUUUGUAUCCGUGUCACCCCUUUUGAUCAGUGUCACCCCUUUUGAUAUUCUCUUUGGAAUCUCUUAUGUAAUUCUCCUUUCAAUCCUUUUUCUUUGACUUUUUCUAUAAUGAGAUACCCCUACGCUUCCUAUGCUUGAAUUCUCAAGGAAAUGUAUGUCGUCUCACUAAUGACUACUAAUCAUGAGUUGCAACAGUUCAAACAUCAAUUUUGUAACCUCUAUGUGACCCUGUUCGCACGGGUUUUUGGGCGAAGAAUCUCUAACCUCCUAUUGAGGUUUACUUGCAGGAUCAGCUACAAAAUCCUAGACUAAGUGUUAAGUUUAUGAGAUGUUUUAUUUAAAUGUUUGGAUUAAGAAAACAAUAGACACGAAAUGCAUGUAAAAGGUGCAAUUAAAAUAGAUGGACGAAAGACAAGAUAAACCGUAAAUGGCAAAGUAGAUAAAAAGACUUGGUAAUUUAAAUUGCUUGAAGGUAAAUGUGGACGCAAUCAUACAUUUUCGUAGGAAUGAACUUUUUUCUCUAAAUGCUUGAUACUUUGAGUGUUUUCCCUCUACAAUGUUACAAAUGCGACCUUUAAAACUAACAAUGAACUUUGCUUAAAUAGGAAAUAAAAUUAACUUCUAUUUCGCUCUUGAUGAUUAAUAGCUUGACAUGUGUUUGUCCACUUACUUUAUAACUUCUCACGUUCUUACUAUUUUCAAAUCUUACCCACGUAAACUGUCAUUUGCUUCGACUUCGACCUGCACAUUUUCUAUCUGUCGGACCUAUUUCAACUUGGCCUGUGUUCCAUAUUCGUCUUGUCUGUCGAACCCCUUCGACCAUGUUCACUCUUCUCGACGCUUCGUUUUGUGAUUCCAUACUUCUCGCUUCGAUUUUCCUCUUUUGCUUAGUCAAAAUUUGUUGGCUAACAAAUUUCCCCUUAAAAGGCCAGUUUCGAUUGAGAAACUUGGCGUUUUGUCUUUCCCAAUUUCGACUGGGUGUCUAAUCGUUGUUGAUAUCAUGCGCAAUGACGAAACCUUUAUGUGCCAUGAUUUCUAAGGGGAGAUAUCAUCAUUUGCAGUUACUUCCUAGGUCGUGGAUUUUCAACCACCUUUAUUAACUUUCCACUAUAGUAGAAACUGAACAUUUUUUUACCCUAGACUGUCUCUUGGUUGGCCUCAACUUUUGCUUACAAAUACCAUUCUUUCACAUUUUUUGUUUUCCUUCUUCUCUGUUUGCGUAUAUUUUUCUAUAACUUUCAGAACAAUAAUACUUUCCUCAUUUCCCUUCUUUCUUCCAUUAAAGUGGCCUCUUCUGCUAACGCUAUGGAUGCAGUCACCUAUAACACUGGUAACAACCCCGUUGCUUUCAACCUCACUGAAGAAGAAAUUCUAAAACCCAUUCCUCAACCAGCAUCUACUAACGAAGUUGUAGUAGAGAUUUGACAACGUCAAAUGCUCAUUCCCUUUGUUGUUGCUGAUAAAUUCCUCGCUUUCCACGAGCCAUAUCGAAAUACAAAAAUGCAAUUGAAAAACGUCCAAUCAUACUUUCCUUGCUUUACUCCAGCUGUUCCACCGGCCUUUGAGAAGAAUGGUUCCAUCGACCUGAAGUUCAUGGACCCAAAGGCCAGGGUUUUUAGGUCGAUGCCCACUCUUGGUAACAAAGAGUAUGUGGCUUGGCUCAACAAAUUCCAAAACAAACGUCAGGAAUAAUGGAAAACGGUUGGCAUCUUCGACUCCAUCCAAAUUUCGAGGAACCCCAUCGAAUCAACCCAUGUAUGUUACUUGCUUCGAUGUACUUCUGGGAAGGUUCGACUAACACCUUACAACUCCCUUAUGGCAUGUUUACGCCUACCCUUUUCGACAUGGCAGCCAUCACUGGUCUCUCAUCUCUGGGCGAAACCUUCGACCCAACUCUUUUGACGGAAAACAGUUUUGCCUUCAAUCGUGCAAGUUUUUAGAAUUACAUUGAAAAUCACUAUGAUCAGGACUCCACUGAAGUGUCCGACGAGGAACACAUUGCUUUCCUAACUCUCUAGCUCUCAUAUUAUUUGUUUUGUCAUGGCUCUCUAUAGAUAGCUAAGAGCUAUAUAAGCUUGGAGAUCCAAAAUCAUGAAGGUAGAUUGGUCUCUUUGGGCAAGCUUCUGCUAGCAUCUCUUUACCACUAUCUAGGGCUUACGACACUGAAGCUAAAGUUUCUCCACUCUACUUCUAAGGCCUUAAAUAUGUCUGGCCCUAUGUGGUGCUACAACACUAGCUAAAUGCCACUUUCGAGUAUCGGUUGGGUUAUCUUGUGUCGGUGUGUAUGAUGCGUUUGACCCAGGAUCAGCCUAUAGAAGGUGUAAGACUUGCCUUGAUGAUAUGUCAGGAGACCCCCUACAAACAUAUUUUCACGAAGUACAUUAAUAUGUUCAUUGAAGCCACCUCUUUUGUUCUAGGCAUGGCCCCUUUUGUGGAUAGAAACUUUGGUCUAACAUGGUUCAAAAACCUUUUUCCUGGUGACUCUCCAUAAGCUGUAGCACUGCCGAACACUGUGUGGAUGGCAUUUCUGACUCCCACAAUGUUGUCCUUUAGGAUAAAGAAUGGGUCGAAGGGGUAUGGAUUUAUGAACUAUCAGUCCAACUUGGUGGCUCAACAAUUUGGCUUGAGUGAGAUGCUGCCAAAAUCUUUGGUGUAUCAAUUAACUGAUAUUGUGUGGGCUGGUCAACAACUAAACUUUAAAGGUCACAAAGCUUGCCUUAAAUUUCACAAAUCGACUCAGCACCUUGAGUUACCCGUUUUCAAAUUUCACCAAUCAUUCUUAACGACCAAGGACUUCAACAAGUAGUGGUCUGAAUACCAACACAAGUAUUUCCCCAAUGCACUCUUCCUCCAAAAUUUGAUUGACGUUUUUUCUGCCCUUGCUGGUGAAACACUGGCUUCACAGCCGAAUACUGACGCUCCCGUCGAGAACAUACAAACUAUUGAUGCCGAUGAGGACCAACCAAAGAAGGUUAAUAUUGCUUUAUUUCCUUUCCUUUCUUUAAGAAGCAAAACCCACUUACCUUCUCUGUAUUUGUUUUCUAGGGUCGAAAGCGGGCUCCAGUUGCUGCGCCAUCUACUCCGUCCACUUCGGCAAGAAAGAAAAAGAAAGUUCCAGCCAAGAAACCAUCUUUAAAAACUCUUUCUUUGACUACAAAGAUUUUUGUCUCUGACGUUCUUAUUGAGAUCUUUAAACCCAUUGGUCAAGAAGAACCUAUUCCAACUUCCCCAAAACACGUAACUCCCGAGGUAUUUGAACAUUCUUGUUUGGUAACCUCAUGAAUUAUUCCUCGAUAUUGAUCCUAACUUCUUUUUGUAGGGAAAAACGGCUGAUUCGACUCUAUAAGACCCUAAUUUUGAUCCUAAGAUCCCUCAUGUUAUCUCAUCGUAUGCAUUGGGAUCACACUUUGGCAUUCUCCUUACCCCUCAUUCAUUAGGUUUGCAUUGGGAGAGAUCACCAAGCACAUUUUAUUGUAUCAUACUUCAUUUUUCUUUGUUUACUAACCAAAAUACCAAAAAUAUGUCAUUUGUAUAGAUUAACUCUUUUGUAGGUGGUGUGCAUGCUCACCUAUGCUCUAUCAAGCUCAUAUCUAGGGUUUAACACCCUCAUUGCAAGGAGCUCAAUCAAUAAUUGGUCUAUAUUGGCUCUAAUUAUCAUAUAUGAAUCCCCAUGAUCUUCACAUGUCAUUUUUAUCAAGAAACCAUCAAGAGUUGGGGGUUUUGUUUGCCUUGGAAACCCUAAUUCAUCUGGGUAUCUUGUGUGACUUCUUCAACAAAUUUCUCCAAUAAUUGAUCAAAUAUUCCAAGGUAUACUUCACAUUACAUCAUCUUAUGCAUAUAUGAUCCUCCAUGAGUCCCAAAAGUCAAGAGAAUGUCAAGCUAGCAAAUUGGUUCAUGGUGGUUGACCAGGGAAAGUUAACUGAUCAAAAUUGGGGUUCCCUGGACCCUAUCUCCUACAACUUUUGUCAUAUGAAAAUGAUUCCAAGAUCAAAGUUACUCUAAGUGACAUUUAAAACAACUUUCAGGUUGAGGUCAAGAUCUAAUUUUUCCUGGAAGGUCAUUUUUUAUGGUGAAAGAUUAUAGGGCAUUUUGUCUAAACCCUAAUUUAGAAGUCAACUUCUCAAGACCAUAACUUACUCAAUUUUCAUGAGAUGAAAGCCAAUAAAAUUUCAUAAUCAAAUUCAAGAUGUCUAAGUCAACUUUUAUGUUUGGAGGAAGUGCAAAUUCAACUUGCAAAUGCAUGUGCAAAGAGGAAACAUUAUAGGUCAUUUUGGGCCAAUACCAUUGAACAAGUGAUUUUCCUCAACUUCUAAAAUGCAUAACGCCUCCAUAACAAAUCCAAAUGAGGCCAAAUUUGUCACAAAAUUGAAUAGGUUUGAAAUAACUAUAACUUUGAUGAAGCAACCUUUCUCAUUUUAAGUUCAUAGAAAAAGUUAUUCAAGGUGGAAGAAGUGAACAUUUGACUUGGGACUUAGAAAUUUUUCAAAUAUGUUUGAUUUCUGAAACUUCCACCUCAAAAUUCAUCAUGAUCCAAGCUUCAAAUUAAAAAGUGUUUAACAUGAAAGUUGUUCCCCUUGAUCUCACCAUUCCAAAACAUCCAAGAUGAUAUCAUUUGGACCAAAAUUGAAGGACUUGCACAUGGUUUCAUUAUGGGAAGUGUUUUGGCAAGAUUGAACUUCACAUGAUCAUUUCCAUUUGCAUGUUUGCACAUGAUGGUUUCAGCAGACUUUGUACAUGAUUUGGAAGUGGAUUGCAUCACUCUUGAGGCCCAAAUGAUUGCUCAUGCACCCAUGCAAGGAAGUUGCUAAUUUUGUCCAAUUUUCAAGUGGUGCAAAUAUCAAACACAUUGCCUAUUUAAACAAGCUUAAGGCUUCAGAUUCAUGAUCAACACCUUGCCCAAGCUUUGUUAGACCUCUGCAAACCCUCACUGCCAUAGAAUUUUCUAAGAUUUCUUUUGAAAUCUAGCUUGAACUUCACCUUUUGUUUGGAAGUUAAAACCCCAGAAAGCAAUCAAAUCCAGAUCAAGAUCAAGUGAAAUUGGAUCAACUCGAAUGUGAUUUUUCAGAAAUUUCUCCUCUUCGAUUCUAUUUUAUUUAUCCACUAUUCUUGUUGAUUUUUGGUUGUCUGAAGUCCUACCAAUGUAGGCAACAAGAUUGAGUUCUUUGAGGUCAAAUCGAAGCAACUCAGUUCAUGAUCCUCAAAAUUCAACUCCCUGUAUCUUUUCAUAUACUUGGAAUUUGAUAAAAUUGAGGCCAAAUUCAAAUUCAUGAGCAUUUUUUUCUUUAAAUCCAUGUCUUGCUUUUUCAUUUUGGUGAUGGUUGAAGGUGGACCAGUCUGGUGAGGUCCACCGGAGAAGAAGAUCGGAGCUCUGUCUCCGGCGAUGUGUUGGAAGCAUCUCAACCAUAGGAUCCAUUCAAAUUAUUUUAAUCUUGAGCGUUGUUUCUAAUUACCAAGCGUGCAUCUUAGUUGACCCAUACCUUUGUGGAACGCGCGCUUUGGACCAUCUGAUCUGCCACCUCAAUUAAUGGGGGAGAUCAGAUGGUCCACGUAUUUUUGAAUUUUUGAAUUUUCAUUUUUAUUGCUUUAUUUUCAUUAAUUCAUAUUAAUUUCAUUAUUGAUCCAAAAAAUACGGGACUUUCACCAAAAAAAAUCAAAUGUUUGUCUCUUUUAUUUUCUGAAUUAAAAUUAUCUUUUGGAUCAAUAUUGGUAUUUUUUAUGAUUUAAUUGUUUUUGUGCAUAUUUUUAAUUGUUUAGAAAUACUUUUGACUUUUCAAAAAUAGUGAAAAAAUUUCUCCAAGGUCCUUUGACCUUGUUUGACCUAUGAUAAAUCUCUUGGCCAUUUAUUUCGUGUUUUGAAGAGGUUUUAGGUUUUUGAUAAAACAUAAUUUAAUUUAAUGCAUUUUAAUUUGAUUUUUAUUUGUUUAAAUUGUGAAUAAAUUGUGUUGAGUCAUUUUUAUUGACUUGUGGAGUUUGACUAUUGUGUUUGGGCCUUGGUUAAUGUUGAUUUGACUUUUGUUGGAUUAAAAUCAUUGGAUUUAGGGGAUUGAUGAAAUGUACAUUUCAUCUCCCAAAAUGAAUGAAUGAUUUUAAUUUGAUAAAAUUUCUCCCAUGACCAAUUUGUGUUUGAUUUUGUUGGAUUAAAAUCAUUGGAUUUAGGGGAUUGAUGAAAUGUACAUUUCAUCUCCCAAAAUGAAUGAAUGAUUUUAAUUUGAUAAAAUUUCUCCCAUGACCAAUUUGUGUUUGUCUCAUUCCCCCUCCCUCUUCAUCUUCAAUCCCUUUCUACCCCAUUCCUCUCAUUGGCCAAUGACAUCUCAAUAUCCCAAGGCUAAUUUAUUCAUGAACCAAUACAAGUAUGGAUGAGAUUGGGUCCACCAUUUAAUCAUUUUCUUUUUUGUGUGUGGUAUGUUUUAGGAGUAUGAUUUAUUAUACCAUAUCUCUAACAUGCAUUAACACCAAAAAAUUUAUUGCCCGACCUCAGAUAGUUGUGACUUCUACAUAAGUCCAAUUACGAUUGCUUAACAUAGCGCUAAAUUUUGAUCCAAAAGCAUAGCAUUCUAAUAAGUGAGAUUGUAAGUCUCCCCCCUUUCAUGGUAUUGUGUGGAAACUUGGUCUUUUUUCCUUCCUUUGGAAGAUAUCUUGGUUCAAGGAUCCAUGCUUGUGAAUAGAGGGUUGAGUGUUCUCCAAAGAAUGACUUAAACAAUUGAAAAGUAAAACUCCACUAACUUCUAAUCAACUAACCCUUGACUAACUCUUUAAUUUCAAGUCAUUUACUUUAUGCACUUUAAAUUCAAGCCAUUUAUCAUUUGUCAUUAUACAUAUCAUUUAACCUGUUUAUUUUUAAUGUCAUUUUCACUUUGCUCACUUAAGCCAUAGAUUGUGAUUGUAUAUAUUUGUUUGUUUAUCUUGUUUGUGUGUGUGGUCUUAGGACCUUAAAAUACUCAAUAAACAACAAAAAUCCUAAAAAUAUUUGUGUGGACUGUUGGAUUUAAUCUGAGCAUUGGACUUAGAAUUAGGCAACAUUCCCUAUGCAAAAGGACUUGGCCAAUGCCAACAUUUCUGAAACCAAGUCAUUAUGAUGUGAGCUUUCAUCUAAUGUAAGUUUUGGGAUCCACUUGAGUUCAUCUGCAACUUGGUAUUGAUGAAAAUGUUACUUUGAAUCUGUGUCUAAUGCUUUAUUCUGAGUCAUUCAAGGAGUAUGCCAUCUGAUACACGGGAGCUUAAGAAGAAGACUAUGAAGUUGCUAGCUUGGAUGUGGCUAUAUUUAUUUGAUGCAUUGCUCUUCAUAUUCCUUGUUUAUUGGUAUUUGUUUGAUUCUAAAGUCCAAAGGAAAAAUGGGUUUCUAUAUGACAUUCUUGUCUAUUGGAUUGCAUCCCAUUGGUCAGAUCUUUUCCACUCUUAACUUUUAAGUUUUUGCUUAGGACUAGUCUCUUCAUCUCCUCCCACUUCUUAAAUUUCAAAUCUCUCCCUCUUUUCAAAAAUCUUCUUUGCUUGUGAUUUUUAAACCUAGACCUUAUUGCAAACUAGAAACUUUGGCCUUAUACCAUUGCAUUUUUAAACUCUUUUCUUAAAUCAAAUUUGUAAGUGAAUCUAAUCAUAUUGACUUAAAAUUUCAAAAGACAAAAAGAACUAACACUCAUCCAAACUCUUUUAGGCCCUUUGUGCCUCUUUUUAAUUUAAAAUUUUAUUAAAUGCAAUUCACUCACUUUGAAAUUGAUACCAUAAACUACGAGGUUUUGAUCCCUCAUUUUCAUGUUGGUAUGUAGGCAUAAGUCUGAAGAUCUUGUCAAACACAAAAAUAUAAUUAAUGAGUUCUUUUCUCAUCUCCUCACUCUAUUUAUUGCAAACAUAAUUUUAUACUAAAACACAUGCACAUAUAAAAAAGGGCUUCCUAGGAGUACCUAUGACACUUUGGGUGCUAACACCUUCCCUCUGUGUAACCAACCCCUUUACCUGUAAUCUCUCGCAUUUUAUUAGUUUUGAUUUGAAAACUUCUUAUCUUUGGGUUUUGUUCGUACUUUUCCCUUUUCCUUUGGAAACAAUAAAAUCACGGUGGCGACUCUGGUUUUAUUGACGUUAAGUUUAUCCAUAACUUAAUGGUCAUGAAUUUACCGCUACAGACUCUUGCUGAGGCUAACAACAACGUAAGGGUCGAAACUGAGAAUCCAGCUGAGACUGCCACCCUUUUGAGUCCCCAAAAAAUUGAUGAGUUUCACGACACAUAUCAAAUUCAAGAUCCUUCAACCGCUGUUGGCAAAGGUAAUACAACCGCUACUAUUGGCGAAACCCUUUUGACUACUACUAGCAAUCUGAUUGGAAAAGAAAAAUCAAAUCCCCUAUCCUCUAAAAAAAUUCCCCCCUUGUGUAAGACAAAAGUUCCAAUGGUACUCUUUCUCUAGAGAAGAUUCUAUCUAUGAAGCAUCAGAAUCUAGCAGAGACAUUGAGAAGGCUAUAGAAGCAUCGCCAAGCAUCGACUGAUGUUCAACCCUCUGGCUCGACUGCCAUGCCUAUUCCAGAAAUGGAUGCUUCCGUCAUUCUCAAACUCCAACAGUGAAAAACCUAUUUGUUUGAGCGUGAAAUUUUGGUCGUCGUCGCAGAGGAAGAGGCCUUGGGGGUCGACGUCCUCAAGCUUCUUGACGAGCUUUCUCAACAUAAAGUUCCUGCUCCUGUGGCCAAAUAUCUGAUUGAAUUUGAAGCCUUCUUCACUCACCUUGUCAAAUACCUCACUCUUCAUCGGCACGUUGACUUCCAAAUUAAAACGAAGCUCAACGAGAUGAGACGAGAAUGGGACUUCAGCGAAAUUUAUGAAAGGAAACACAAUAAUUUUGAGACUAAGAAGCAAGAGCAUUUCAACUAACGACAAGCCUUUGACCAGAAAAUCUCAAACUAUCAGGCUCAAAUGGCUGAACUCGCCAAGAAAAUUGCUGAAGUCGAGAAACAAAAAGCCUCAUUAGAUUCAACUGAGACCCUGCCGGCUCAAGAUGUUAUUGAUUAGGAAGUUUUUAAAGGAAUUUCACAUGGUGAGAAGGCCUUUGAGAUUAAAGAAAGUAUUGACCAACUGCAGGAGAAGAGGGACCUCCUCGACAACAGGAUUGAUCAUGAGAAGACUCUUUUUGAAGACUUUAAGUCUAGAUUUCCUGCCUAAUGUAUUUCUCUGUCGAGACUAUGUAACUCCGCUUGGAGAUUCUGAAUGCCAUCUUGGCUUUUUCCAUUUUAGCUUUGAUCAUUAAUGACAAGUUUUAUUACCUUUUGAUUUGAAUCUCUUGGAGCAUAGGUUUAUAUUUUUUCAAAUAUUUCCCAUUUACCCUUAAGAUUUGUCGACCAAUACCCAACUCUUGAAUUUCAUAGGCAUUAUUCGUAAACGUUUGGAUUACUUGAAAUGGUCCCUCCCGAUUUGGUGACUAUUUUCCUAAAGUUUGAUCUCUUUGAUCCAUAGGUAAGAUCACCUUCCAAAAGUAAUCAUUUAUUGCAAAAGUUUCUAUCUUGGCCUUUUUAUUAUAUGCUUUAGCCACACACACUUUUUGUCGUAACAACAUGUCUAUUGCAGCCAACCUUUCUUCGUCUAAAUAGGUCUUUUCGUCGAACAUCAGUCUCCAAUAUUAUUCUGACGGAUUAUCGUUUUUCCGCUACACUCUAACUGAUUAUAAACGGAUUUUUGCUGGCAACACGACAUCAUGCCCAAAUGUCAAACAGAAAGGCGUUGAAUUGGUUACCUCCUUUGGGGGUGUUCGACAAGCCCAUAGAAUUUGAUCUAAUGUUUUAUGCCAAUUCUUAGGUUUCUUGGAAACGUUUUUUUAUUAACCCGAUUAUCACUUUAUUGGUUUCCUCAACUUGGCCAUUUUCUUGGGCGUAGUAAGGUGUGGAAGUAACCAAAUUGAAUCCUAUUUCAGCAGCAAACUCUUGCAUCUUUUGACAAACAAAAACUGAACCUUGAUUUGUAGUAAAGAUUUCAGGAAUUCCAAACCUAUGCACAAUAUGUUUUUGAAUGAAUUCAAUCACAUCCUCUUGAUCCAUUUUUAUCAAAGGGAUAACUUCUAUCCAUUUUGUGAAAUAGUCUAUACCUACCAGGAUAAAUUUUUGUUGUUUCAACGAGGCUGGUCGAAUCUCACCGAUUACAUCUAACGCCCAACCUCGAAAGGGUCGGGGAUUGAUGAUUACAUGCAACUCGUUGACUGACACAUGUUGAAUGCUUGCAUGUAUCUGACAUUCUUGACACACUUUGGAAAAGUCAAUGCAGUCUUUUGACACACUUGGCCAGUAAAUACCUUGUCAAAAUAAUAACCAUUUCAUUUUAUGGCCGUCUUAGUGAGCUCCACAUAUUCCACUAUGUACCUCAGACAUUGCCAAGUAUGCUUCAGUAUCCCUAAGAGAAACACUCCUUCUAGAGUCUUUUUCAAUAACUCAUUUCACAGACAUACAUAACUUAACGCUCUAUACUUGAUUUUCUUGUUAGUGUUUCCGACUGGAUUUUCUAAGCACUCCAUGAUUAGUUUUCUCCAAUCUGAUUGUGACAAAUUGUCAAUGGCAAAAACUUUAUGUAUUUCAUAAUUUUCAAAUUUUCCAAAAAUUUUACUUGACAUCUCCCCCCCAUUUUUUAGGAUUGCCAUUUUGGGUGACGACGAGACAUUCGACGUCAUCUUUUCUUUCACCUUCAUAAAGUCAUUGAGCCUAUCUUUUGACAAUUUAUACCCAGAUGCAAUUUGUGCUAAAUCGUUAGCUUCUUGAUUCUUUAUUCUAGGCACAUGUGUGAUGCUGACAACCUUGAAGUACUCUAAUAGGCGUUUCUCCAUUGCGAAAUACAACAUUAGAUUUUAUUUAAUGCACUUAUAUUCUCGUUGGAUUUGUUUGAUCACUAGCUCAAAAUCACCCUUUAUCUCGACCUUCUUGGCUUCUAAAUCCCUCAAGAUUUUAAGGCCAGUGAUUAGGGAUUCGUAUUCUGCCUCAUUAUUGGAACAAUUUACGUCGACUUUACAUUUGAACUUCGUCAGAAUACCUUGUAGGGAUAAUAUUAAGAUCCCAACAUCUGUUUCGUUUUUGCGACUUGACCCGUCGAAGUAUAACCUCCAUGGGUUCGUGUCGACCAUGUUUAGUGAUGGUUCGACUAUUGCAUGGUCUACAAUAAAAUCUGCCAAUAUUUGGCCUUUCAUAGACCUCAAAGGCAUAUAUGUUAAAGAAAAUUCAGUUAAUGCUAGUGCCCAUUUCCCAAUUCGACUAUGUAGAAUAGGUUUAGACAACAUAUGUUUAAUAACAUCAAAAUGAGACGAAGCAUAAACAUCAACUGGUUUUAUAUAUUGCUUUAAUUUUAUACAUUAGAAGUACAAUCAUAUGCAUAUUUUUUCAAUCAUAUUGUACCUAGUUUCAACAUCUAUUAAAAUUCGACUGAGGUAAUAAAUGGGUCUUUCGACACCACUGUCAUCCUCUUGUGCUAAGAUACUUCCUAUGGUUGUAUCUGACGCAGCAAUAUAUAACCUCAUAUUCUUAUUCAUACUAGGUGGAAAUAAAAUGAGAGGCUUUGUGAGGUACUCUUUGAUGGCGUUGAAAGCCUCUUGUUGCUCUCGUUUCUAGUGAAAAUCACUUUCCUUCUUGAUCUUGAGCAAUGGCGAGAAAACCUUUGUCUUGCCACUUAGAUUUGAUAUAAAUAUUCUCAAGAAAUUUAUCUUUCCUAACAAAGACCGGAGCUGCUUCUUUGUCGAAUGAGUCUAGAGAUCCAAAAUUGCUUUUAUUUUGUUUUGGUUGAUCUCGAUGCCUUUUUGUUGCACCAAGAAACCCAAGAAGUCUCCUGCAUGUACACCAAAAGCACAUUUUAAUGGAUUCAUUUUUAAUCCAUAUUUUCUCAUCCUCUCAAAUGAGCGUCGAAGAUGGUCCAAAUGACCAUUUUCAGAUGAAUACUUUAUCACAAUAUCAUCAAUUUAUACCUGCAUAAUAUUUUCAAUAAAAUCAUGGAAUAUGGCAUUCAUGGCUCUAUGAUAGGUUGCUCUGGUGUUUUUUUAAACCAAACAGCAUCACAACCCUUUUGUAUGUUCCCAAAGCUCUGGGGCAUCGAAAUGCCAUCUUGAGAACAUCAUUUUCUGCUAUGAGAAUCUUAUUAUAGCCAGAAUAACCAUCAAGCAUACUUAAGUAUUCAAAACCUGUGGCUGAAUCGACUAAGAUUUCUCUGGCCACUGGGAUCGAAUACUAAUAUUUUGGAGUUGCAUUGUUUAAGUCUCUAAAAUCUAUACAGACUCUAAGUGUUCCAUUUUUCUUGAUAACAGGUACUAUGUUGGCUAACCAUUUGACGUACCUUGCAGUUCUGAUGAACCUGUUGUAGCAGUAAAUUCAUGACCAUUAAGCUAUGGAUAAACUUAACGUCAAUAAAACCAGAGUCACCACCGCGCUUUUAUUGUUUCCAAAGGAAAAGGGAAAAGUACGAACAAAACCCAAAGAUAAGAAGUUUUAAAAUCAAAACUAAUAAAAUGCGAGAGAUUACAGGUAAGGGGGUUGGUUACACAGAGGGAAGGUGUUAGCACCCAAAGUGUCCUAGGUACUCCUAGGGAGCCCUUUUUAAUGUGUGCAUGUAUUUUGGUAUAAAAGAUAUUUGAAGAGUGCGUGGAUGAUAAAAGAAUUCAUUGAUUAUAUUUUUAUGUUUGACAAGACCUUCGGACUUGUGCCUACGUACCAACAUAAAAAUGAGGGAUCAAAACCUCAUAGUUCGUGGUAUCAAUUUGAAAAUGAGUGAAUUGCUUUUAACAAAAUUUUAAUAGAAAGGGGGCACAAAGGGCCAAAAAUUUGAAUGAGUGUUAUUUCUUUUUGUCUUUUGAAAUUUUAAUUCAAUAUGAUUAGAUUUAUUUAUAGGUUUAAUUUAAGAAAAGGUUUGAAAAUUCAUUGGCAUAAGGUCAAAGUUUCUAAUCAUUUAAACAGAGUCUAAGUUUGAAAUCACAAGUAAAGAAAGUUUUUUAAAAGGGGGAGAUAUUUUGAAAUUUAAGAAGUGGGAGAAGAUGAAGAGGCUAACGUAAGCAUAAAAUUAAAAGUUAAGAGUUGAAAAGAUCUGACCAAUGGGAUGCAAUCCAACAGACAAGAAUGCUAUAUAGAAAAUGCAUUUUCCCUUUGGACUUUGAAUCAAGCAAUAAUCAAUCAAGAAAUUAGCAAUAUCAGACACCAUGGAGAUCAAGGCAUCAAAUAAAGACAGCCACAUCCAAGCAAGAAAAUCCCAUAGCUAGUAGUCUUCUUUGUCUUCUCAUGUAUCAGAUGAAAUACUCCUUGAUUAACUCAGAAUAAGGCAUUAGACACAAGAUCAAAAUAACAGUUGCAUCAAGACCAUGUAGCAGAUGAGUUCAAAUAAAUCCCAAUACUUGCACCAGAUAAAGGCCCAAUUCACAAUAACUUGGUCUCAAAAUGUUGGCAUUGGCCAAGUCCUUUGCAUAUGGAAUGCUGCCUAAUCCUAAGUCCAAAAGUUCAAAUCAAGCUCAACAGUCCACUCAAACAUUUUUUAGGGUUUUUGUUUUUUAUUAGGUAAUUUAAGGUCCUAAGACCAUAAAAAGAAUCAAAAUACACAAGUAAAUAUAUACAAUCACAAUAUAUGGCUCAAAUGAGCAAAGUGAAAAUGACAUAAACAUAAACAAGUUAAAUGAAAUGGAAAUGGCAAUGAAUGGUAAAUGACUUAGAAGUUAAAUUACAUAAAGUAAAUGACUUGAAAGUAAAAGCAGUAUUAAUAAGAGUUAGUCAAAUGUUAGUCAAGGUUAAUUGAAUGUUAGUGAUAUUUUGUUUUUCAAUUGAUUAAGUCAUUCUUUGGAGAAUACUCAACCAUCUAUUCACAAGUAUGGAUCCUUGAACUAAGACAUCUUCCAUAGGAAAGAAAAAAGGCCAAGUUUCUGCACAAUACCAUGAAAGAUGGGAAACUGACAAUCUCACUUACUAGAAUGAUAUGCCUUUAGGGUCAAAAUUUAGCUUUAUGUUAAGCAAUCAUAAUUGGACUUAUGUAGAAGUCACAACCAUCUGAGGUCGGGCAAUAAAAAUUUAGGUGUUAAUGCAUGUUAGAGAUUUGAUAUAAUGGACCACACUCCUAAAACAUACCACACACUAAAAGAAAAGAUCAAAAGAAAUGGACCUAUCUCAUCCAUAUUUGUAUUGGUUUAUCUGACACAAGGUCACUGAUGAACCAAUUAGCCUUAAGAUAUUGAGACUUCAUUGUUCUAUGAAAGGGAUGGGAAAAGAAUAGGGGUGAAGAAUGAAGGGGGGGGGGGAGAGGGGGUGAGAGAAACAAAAAUUGGUCAUGGGAGGAAUUUUACCAAAUUAAAAUCAUUCUUUCAUUUUGGGAGAUGAAAUAUAUAUUUCAUCAAUCCCCUAAAUCCAAUGAUUUUAAUCUAAUAAAAAUCAAAUCAAUCUUGACCAAGGCCCUAACAAAUAGUCAAACAUCACAAGACCAUAAAAAUGACUCAACAUAAUUUUUACACAAUUAAUCAAUUAAAAAAUCAAAUUAAAAUGCAUUAAAAUACAAAUUUGUUUGGUCAAAACCUAAAACCUCUUCAAAACACCAAAUAAAUGGCCAAGAGAUUUAUCAUAGGUCAAGCAAGGUCAAAGGACCUUAGACAAAAAAUUUCAUGAUUUUUAAAAAGUUAGAAGUAUUUUUAAACAAUUAAAAAUAUGCACAAAAACAUUUAAUUCAUGAAAAAUAUCAAAAUUAAUCCAAAAAAUUAUUUUAAUUCAGAAAAUGAAGAGAAAAAUAUUUAAAGAUUUUUGGCGAAAGUCCCAUAUUUUUUGGAUUAAAAAUGAAAUUAAUAUAAAUUAAACAAAAUAAAGGGAUUAAAUGAAAAAUCAGAAAAUAAAAAGAAAUUAAAAAAAACAAGGGCCAUCAGAUCUCCCUCAUUAAUUGAGGUGGCAAAUCUGAUGGUCAAGCGCGCGCUUCCAUCCAACACCUCAGUCAAUGUGUGUACACACGUGGUAUGCAAAAGCAAGGGCUAAGAUUAAAACGUUGAACCAAUAUCAGAUGGUUGGAACCUUGCCAACACACCACCGGAGCCCUAGCUCCGGUCAUCUUCCCCGGUGAGGGCCACCAGACUGGUCCAACCUAAACUUCAUGAAAAAUGGAAAACAAGGACACUAAUUUGAAUUGAAAAUGCUCAGGAUCACAAAUCUAGCCUCAAUUUUCUCUAAUUCCAAGUAUAAAAUAAGAUACAUGGAUUUGAAUUUUGAGGAUCAUGAACUGAGUUGCUUCAAUUUGACCUCAAAGCAACUCAAUCUUCUUACCUAUAUUGGUAGGACUUCAGCCAACCAAAAAUCACAAAGAAUAGUGAAGAAUUGAGAGAGAAUCGAAGAGAUGAAGUUUCUGAAUUUUCACCUUCAAGUAGCUUCAAAUUUGCUUGAUCUUGAUUUGGAUUUGCUUGAUUCCUCUUCCUCUUGCUUGCAGUGACCAAUUUAGAUGGAAAGGGCAAUGCAAUCUUGAAGUUUGAAUUUCAAAACAAAAGGUGAAAUUCAAACUCGAUUUCAAUGAAAUCCUCAAAAAAUUUUAUGGAAUGAGGGGUCUGAGUUGUCUUGGCAAAGCUUGGGCAAGGUGCUCAUGCAUUUCUGAGCUCAUAGCACUUGUAUUUAUAGCCUUUUCAAAUGCUUUCCACACAAUUCCUUUAAAAAUCCAAAAAUAACAAUUACCUCAUGCAAGCUUGCAUGAACGUGUACAAAGCCUAAAGAAUGAUUGGAAUUGGUCCAAAAUCAUGCACAUGUGAUGCUGAAAGCAAUUCAUGAAUCCAUGCAAUGUAGAAUAGAAAUUGGUCAUGAGAAUCUUCCAAAUGGGACCAUUCAUUACACCCAUGCACAAGUCCUUCAGUUUUGAUCCAAAUGAGAUGAUCUUGGACUUUUUGGAAAGGUGAGACUAAGGGGGACAACUUUCAUGUUGAAAACUUUUCCAUUUGAAGCAUAGAUAAUGAUGCAUUCUAAGAUGGAUGUUUGGAAAAUCAAACAUACUUGAAAAUUUUCUAAGUACCAAGUCAAAUGUUCACUUCUUCCACCUUGAAUAACUUUUGCUAUAGAUUUCAAAUGGAAAAAUUUCCUUCAUAGAAGUUGUAUCUAUAUCAAACCUCUUCAAUUUGGUCACAAAUUUGACCUCAUUUGAAUUUGGCAUGAAGGAGUUAUGCAUUUUAGAAGUUGGGGAAAAUCACUUGUUUAAUGGUAAUGACCCAAAAUGACCUAUAAUGUUUCCUCUUGGCACAUGAAUUUUAAAGUUUAAUUUGAACUUAUUCCACACAUAAACAUUGAAUAUGACAUCUUGAAUUUGAUCAUGGAGCUUGAAUGGCUUUCAUAUCAUAAAAAGGAGCAAGUUAUGGUCUUGGGAAGUUGACCUCCUAACUAGGGUUAGGACAAAAUGACCUAUAAUCUUUCACCAUAAAAAAUGCCUUUCCAAGAAAAACUAGAUCUUGACUUAAACAUUAAAGUUAUUUUAAAUGUAACUAUGAGUAACUUUGCUCUUGGAGUCAUUUUCAUAUGACAAAAAUUGUAGGAGAUAGGAUCUAGGGAACCCCAGUUUUGACCAGUUGACUUUCUCUGGUCAACCACCAUGAACCAUCUUGCUAGCUUGACAUUCUCUUGAUUUUUGGGACUCAUGGAGGAUCAUAUAUGAUGUCUAGAGCUAAUGUGAACCAUAUCUUGAUUAGUCUCCUUACAUUGAGGGUCUUAAACCCUAGAUGUAAAUUUGAUGAGGCAUUAGUGGACACACACACACACUACCUACAAAAGCAACAAACUUUACAUUGACAUAUUUUUGGUAUUUUGGUUAGUAAGAAUAAUGAAAAAUAAAGUAUGAUACAAUCGUGAUGUGCUUGGUGAUCUCUCUCAAUGUAAACCCAAUGAAUGGGGGGUAAGGAUGAUGCCAAGGUGUGAUCCCAAAGCCAAUGCAUAUGAUGAGAUAGCAUGAGGGAUAUUAGGGUCUAAAUUGGGGUCUUACUGUAAGUUAGGAAUGAGCUUAAGAGGGGGGGGUUGUAACACCCUUCUAAAAUACCCCAAUAAUUAAUUAAAACAACAAAUAUAAAUCAGAGUAGAUAUGCAAUUAAGGAUGUCACACUUGACACUUCACACCAUUCACCAAAAUAGUUUGUCAUGCUCAUUUAUUAAUCAAAAUGAAAUAUUGCACAAUUCGCAGCGGAUAUGCAACCAUGUAACACAUUACAUGUAAAACUGUUCAACAACCACAAAUGAAAACAAAGUAAACAUCCCGUCCCGAUGUUACAUCUACCGGAGCAUGACCCACUAAGGAACUACACUAGACUCCAAGCACUAGCUUCUACUCAAUCACUGCUCGUUACCUGAAACAUAGUUGUAAGGUAGUCCUCAAUCGAUAUAAUAAGCAUUAUAAAAUAUAUGUAAUGCUAAGUAAAUUAACACAUUUCAUCACCCUAAUCAUAUCACACAUUCAGCACCGGCAACAUCAAUCAUAAUCAUACUCACAACAACACAACACAACACAAAACACACGUAUAAUAUUGGAAUACAUCCAUUCAUAUUAUACGCCAUACAUACAUUAUGCAAUGAGACUCCAUGCAUGCGGUACCGGACUAUUCGUGAACACAUAGUUCAACCUCCCCGAUCAAACCCAGAUACGCUACAAGCUCACUAGUCCCACUCAUUUGAGACCUAGUGACUUACUCACUAAUUCCUCACCAUGGGAAUUAGCUACCACCCCAAGGGCUAUGCUUGCACGCUAAAUCACCUAGCAUGCAAACAUCAACAAUAAUCCACAAUAACUCACUCACUAAUUCCUCACCAUGGAAUUAGCUACCACCAUAAGGCCAUACUAUGCACCGCCAAAUCACCGCUACAUGCAACCAUCAACAACAAUCUACAAUGGACAUAUGCUCACACUCUAAGCCAUAACAAUCCAUCCACAAUGCAUACAUACAGAUACAUUCACAGCAUUAGCAUACCAUCAUACAUCAUCAACAUAUUUAUCACAGAAUCAUUAUUCAUAUCAUGCCAAAUAAUAAAUCACAGUAUUAGCACACUCUACUAAUAUCUAUACUGCUCAAAACAACGGGAAAUGAUCUACUAUAUCAUACACCAAUAUAGGCCAAACGUCAAAUAUGUACACAUAUUUGAUAACAUUUCCACUUUCACACAACAGGUAACCGGUUAACGCCCUGGGUUAACCGGUUAACGCAACACAGAACACGCUCCUGGCACUUUAACAGUGUUAACCGGUUAACACCCUGGGUUAACCGGUUAACGCAAGACAGACAGCAAUAUUUCUCAAUUCAUAACAGUGUUAACCGGUUAACACCCUGGUUAACGGUUAACGCAAGAACAGAAAGCUGUUCCUGCGCUAACACGAAGCAGAAUGCAGAAUUCUCCGCAUUUUCCGCCGUUGGAGGACUUCCGGACCUCCGAUUCCAAUUCCGUAAAAAGCUACACGUUCGGAAAAUCACAACUCACCCAAAUAUAGAUUCAAUUACAGCUUAAUCAUAACUUAUCAUCACAAUUUUUUCAGCACUCAUCAUCCCAAUUAGGGUCAAUUCAACGGCUUAUUACUACCCAUUACAUGUUAACCCAUAAUACCAUAAACGACGAUAAACCCCCCUUACCUGAGUUAAUCCGGCAAUCCUUUAGCUUCAAGCUUUUCCCUUCUUCAACCCUCGUUCUCUUGUUCUUCCUCCUUGCCCUUUUCUCACUUUCUGUCGCUUCUCUGGUUUUCACGUGAAAAACCCUUUUUACCAAAUGGAACUUAUAUAUAUUCCAACUUUAUUAUUCCAAUAAUAAUAAUUCCAAAUAAUUCCAAUAAUAAUCCAAUUAUUUAAUUAAAUUAAUAAAUAUACUAUUAACUUAUUUAAAUAAUUAUCAUAUUUUAUACGGGGUGUUACAACUCUCCCCCACUAAAAGAGUUUCGUCCUCGAAAACAUACCUCAAGCGAAUAACUCUGGAUAAGACUCCUUUCAUCUGACUCUCAAGUUCCCAAGUCACAUUGCCACCUGCUGGUCCUCCCCAAGCUACCUUUACCAAAGCAAUCUCUUUACCCCGCAACUGCUUCAACUCUCGAUCCUCGAUCCUCAUAGGUGAUGUUUCAACAGUCAGGUUAUCUCUCACCUGUACAUCAUCUACUUUGACCACAUGCGACGGAUCAGAAUGCCCCUCAUACUAGCACACAUGAAAACCUCAUGCAAUUCGCAAGUGACGGCGGUAAAGCGAUACGAUAGGCUACCUCCCCUAUCCUCUCCAAAAUCUGAUAAGGACCAAUAAAUCGAGGUGUCAACUUCUUCGACUUCAAAGCUCGACCAACCCCAGUUACCGGAGUAACACGAAGAAACACAUGAUCUCCCUCUUGAAACUCAAGUGACUUCCUCCUCUUGUCGUGAUACUCUUCUGACGACUCUGAGCAAUCCUCAUCUUCUCCUGAAUCAUCUUAAUCUUUUUCGUAGUUUGUUGAACAAUCUUCGGUCCACCACAACACUCCACCGGACUCAUACCAACAUAAAGGUGUCCGACAUCUCCUACCAUACAAAGCUUCAAACGGUGCCAUACCAAUGCUCGAAUGAAAACUAUUGUUGUAGGUAAACUCAAUCAAAGGUAAAUAACAAUCCCACGCACCUCCCUUUUCCAAACACAAGCCCUCAAAAGAUCCUCCAUGACUGAAUCGUCCUCUCAGUCUGACCAUCAGUCUGCGGAUGAUAUGCAGAACUCAAUCUCAGCUUAGUUCCAAAGCCUCUUGCAAACCUUCCCAGAACUUCGAUGUAAAUCUAGGAUCUCUGUCCGAAACAAUACUCGACGGAAUACAUGCAAACUUACAAUCUUCUCAAUAUACAACUCAGCUAAUCUCUCUAACGGAUAAUCCAUUCUGAUCGCGAAAUGAAAUGAGCCGAUUUUGUCAAUCUGUCAACAUCACCCAAUAGCUUCAAAAUUCUUAAUUGUCCUCGGUAAACCAGAAACAAAAUCCAUACUGAUACUAUCCCACUUCCACUCUGGAAUAGCCAACGGUUUGCAUUAGCCCAGACGGCUUCUGAUGCUCAAUCUUUGACUUCUGACAAGUCAAACAAGAAUAAACAAAACUCGCAAUUUCUUUUUUCAUUCCCGGCCACCAAAUAACUUUUUCAAAUCAAGAUACAUCUUCGUAGCCCCAGGAUGAAUACUCAGGCCACUACGAUGUCCUUCCUCAAGAAUACUCUUCUUAAGUUCUACACACUCCGGAAUACACACCCGAUUACCAAAUUUCAAAACCAUUCUCAUCAACUCUGAAUUCACCACCUUGACCUUGAUUCACUAGAGUCAACUUAUCAACCAAAAGCACAUCGGAUUUCUGACCCUCUCUAAUCUCAUCCAGAAUACCACUCGUUAACUUCAACAUUCCCAAUUUAACACUAUUGUGAGUACUCUCACACACCAAACUCAAGUCUCUAAACUGCUCAAUUAAAUCCAAUUCCUUAACCAUUAACAUAGACAUAUGCAAUGAUUUCCGACUCAAUGCAUCAGCCACUACGUUUGCUUUACCCGAUGGUAAUUCAAACCAAAGUCAUAAUCCUUCUAGAAACUCUAACCAUCUCCUCUGUCUCAUAUUCAGCUCUUUCUGAUCAAACAAAUACUUUAAACUCUUAUGGUCACUGAAAACCUCAAAUCUUGACCCGUACAAGUAAUGCCUCAUAAACUUCGAACAAAUACCACAACUGCCAACCUCUAAAUCGUGUGUCGGAUAGUUCCUCUCAUGAACCUUCAGUUGUCUCGAACAUAAGCUACAACCUGCUUAUUCUGGCAUCAAACACCACCCCACCCAACAAUGAAGCAUCACACAAGUAACCUCAAAUGGUUCUGACGGACUUGGUAAUAUCAGAAUAGGAGCAGUAGUCAACCUUCUCUUUAACUCUGUGGAAACCUUCUUCACAUUUUGAGUCCCAAACAAACGCUUGCCCCUUUCUAGUCAACAUCGUUAACGAGGAUGCACUUAGAAAAUCCCUCAAUGAAUUUCCUAUAAUAACACUGCAAGUCCAAGAAAACUCCUUAUCUCAAAAAACUGACUUCGAGCUUCCAUUAGAUACCGCUUCUAUCUUAGAAGGAUCAACAGCAAUACCACCCCUUGAAAACCACCAUGACAAAAAACUAACCUCUUCUAACCAAAAUUCACACUUGGACAGUUUAGCAAAUAACUUCUUUUCUCGUAGAACUCCUAAAACUACCACUCUCAAAUGUUCACAUGCUCUUUCUCAGAUUUCGAUACACUAAAAUAUCGUCAUAAACACCACAAACAAACUUGUCUAGGUACGGAUGGAAAAUCCUAUUCAUAUACUCCAUAAAUACCCAGGCGCAUUAGUCACACCAAAAGGCAUUACAGAAUACUCAUAAGUCCAUACCUUUGUUCUGAAAGCAGUCUUCUGAAUAUCCUCAGUUUUCACACGUAUCUGAUGAUACCCCCGAUCUCAAAUCUAUUUUGCUGAACACACUCGCACCAACCAACUGAUCCAUCAAAUCAUCAAUCCUCGCAAAGGAUACCGAUUUUUGAUCGUACUUUAUUCAGUGCCUGUAGUCCACACACAACCUCAUAGUACCUUCUUUCUUCUUAACCAAUAACACUGGUGCAUCCCGUGGCCCACUGACCUCGGACGAAUAAAUUUCUUAUCCAACAAAUCUUCCAACUGACUUUUCAAUUCAGUUAACUCAACAGCAGACAUACGGUACGGAGCCGUCAAUAUCGGCCUAGUACAGGUACCAAAUCAAUCGAGACUCAACUUCACGCUGGCGGUAAUUCAUUCACUUCUUCAGGAAACACAUCAGGAAAAUCACACACCACAGCUAGAUCGCAAAUCGCCAGUUUAUCUUUAGCCUCCAAAGUCGCUAACAGCAUAAACAACUCUGCCCCAUCUGCUACUGCCAUUAUUCACCUGCCUUGCUGAUAGAACAAACUCUUUCCUUCCUCCAUCUCAGGAAAGAUCACAGUCUUAUCAAAACAGUUGAUAUAAACUCGGUUAAACACCAACCAGUUCAUACCCAGGAUAACAUCAAUCUGCACUAGUGGAAGACACACGAGGUCCAUUCCAAAGUCUCUACCAAAAAUACUCAAAGGACAAUUUAAACAAACUGAAGUAGUGUCACUGAACCCUUCGCAAGGAGUAUCAAUCACCAUACUCCCAUGCAUUCAGAUAUCUCUAAUUUAAGUUCACAGCACAAUCCAAAGAUAUAAAGGAAUGAGUCGCACCUGUGUCAAUAAUAGCUACAAGAGGAAACCAUUAAUAUACACGUACCUCGGAUCAACGAUCAUCUGUAGAGGUCUCAGAACCCGAUAAAGCAAAGACCUUGCCUCCCGACUGGUUCUCUCUCUUCGGCUUAGGACACUGUGACUGAUAUGACCCACCUCUCCACAGUUGAAACAAGUCACAGUCUUCAACCGGCACUCUGCAGCCAAGUGACCACUUUUCCACACUUGAAACACUUCUUCUUAGUACUGGUACACUCAUGGAUACGUGUUCAGCCUGACCACAUCUGUAACACUUAGCAGGGGCACUGGAGUCUCCCCCACUAGGUCUCUUCAUCCCACUCUGUCUCUGGAACCCUUGCCAACUGCAUACGGUUUUCCACGAUCAUUCUGAUCUUGCCUUUCCUAUCAACCCUCUGCUGAUAGCUCUCCGCUCUGGCCUUGGUAUCCUGUUCAAAAAUCCUGCAACAGUCAACCAAGUCAGAAAACACUCUAAUCCGCUGAUACCCAAUAGCCUGCUUGAUCUCGGCGUAACCCGUUCUCAAACUUCACACAUUUUGAAAAUCCCCAGUAGCCUCAUCAUAGGGAGUGUAAUACUUCGACAGCUCUGUGAACUUAGCAACAUACUCAGUAACAGACCGGUUGCCGCUGCUUCAAUUCUAAGAACUCUAUCUCUUUCUUUCCUCUGACAUCCUCUGGAAAGUACUUCCUCAGGAAUCUCUCUCUGAACACCGCCCAAGUGAUCUCAGCAUUCCCAGCAGCUUCCAACUCAGUGCGGGUAGCAACCCACCAUCAUCUGCUUCCUCUGACAGCAUAUGCGUACCGAACCUGACCUUCUGGUUAUCGGCACACUCAGCCAUCGGAAGAUCCUCUCGAUCUCCUUCAACCACUUCUGAGCACCAUCUGGAUCGUAUGCUCCCUUAAACAUUGGGAUUGUUCUUCUGGAACUCACUCAGUUGACGAGCAGCUCCAAUCCACCACAUUCGGAUUCCCUCCAAGUACUCCAGCUAGCAUACCCAGAGCCUCAGCAAUCGCAGCAUCCUUACCUCUUCCAGCCAUUUCUAUUCUGAAAACCCAACAAGCUAAAACAAUAAGUACUGAUAGGGUUACACACACACCUUCACGUACAGGGAAACAAAAUAAUUACGACUCGACUCGACCGACUAUGUUCUGAUACCCACUAAUGUAACACCCUUCUAAAAUACCCCAAUAAUUAAUUAAAACAACAAAUAUAAAAUCAGUAGAUAUGCAAUUAAGGGUGUCACACACUUGACACUUCACACCAUUCAAAAAAGUUUGUCAUGCUCAUUUAUUAAUCAAAUGAAAUAUUGCACAAUUCGCACAGCGGAUAUGCAACCAUGUAACAUUACUGUAAAACUGUUCAAAACACAACCACAAAAUGACAAAGUAAACAUCCCGUCCCGAUGUUACAUCUACCGGAGCAUGCCACAAGAACUACACUAGACUCAAGCACAAUAGCUUCUACUCAAUCACCCUACACUGUCAAUUACCAUUCGAAACAUAGUUGUAAGGGUGAGUUCCUCAAUCGAUAUAUAGCAUUAUAAAAUAUCAUGUAAUGCUAAGUAAUUAACACACAUUUCCAUCACCCUAAUCAUUACAACAUAUCCAGCACGGCAACAUCAAUCAUAACAUCAUCACACAAACACAACACAAACAAAAACACAAACAAACACACACAACACUAUAAUUUGGAUACUCCAUUCAAUUAUACGCCAUACAUACAUUAGCAAUGAGACUCAUGCAUGCGGUACCGACUAUUCGUGAACACAUGUUCAACCUCACCGAUCAACCCAGAUACGGCUACCAAGCUCACUAGUCCCACUCAUUUGAGACCUAGUGACUCACUCACUAAUUCCUCACCAUGGAAUUAGCUACCACCCCAAGGCUAUGCUAUGCACGCUAAAUCACCUAGCAUGCAAACAUCAACAACAAUCACAAUAACUCACUCACUAAUUCCUCACCAUGGGAAUUAGCUACCCACCAUAAAGGCCAUACUAUGCACGCCAAAUCACCUAGCAUGCAACCAUCACAACAAUCUACAAUGGACAUAUGCUCACACUCUAAGCCAUAAACAAUUCAUCCACAAUUGCAUACAUAACAGAUACAUUCACAGCAUUAUGCAUACCAUCAUACAUCAUCAGCAUAUUUAUCACAAAAUCAUAUUCAUAUCAUGCCAAAUAAUAAAUCACAGUAUUAGCACACUCUACUAAUACCUAUACUGCUCAAAACAACGGGAUGAUCCCUACUAUAUCAUAACCCAAUAUAGGCCAAACGUCAAAUAUGUACACAAUAUUUGAGUAACAAUUUCCACUUUCCAAACAGUGUUAACCGGUUAACGCCCUGGGUUAACCGUUACGCCAACACAGAACACGCUUCCUGGCACAUUUAACAGUGUUAACCGGUUAACACCCUGGUUAACCGGUUAACGCAAGACACAACAAUAUUUCUCAAUUCAUAACAGUGUUAACCGGUUAACACCCUGGGUUAACCGGUAACGCAAGACAGAAAGCUGUUCCUGCGCUAACACGAAGCAGAAUGCAGAAUUCUCCGCAUUUUCCGCCGUUGGAGGACUUCCGGACCUCCGAUUCCAAUUCCGUAAAAAGCUACACGUUCGGAAAUCACAACUCACCUAAAUAUGAUUCAAUUACAGCUUAAUCAUAACUUAUUCAUCACAAUUUUUUCAGCACUCAUCAUCCCAAUUAGGGUCAAUUCAACGACUUAUUACUACCCAUUACAUGUUAACCCAUAAUACCCAUUAAACGACGAUAAACCCCCUUAACCUGAGUUAAUCCGACAUCCUUUAGCUUCAAGCUUUUCCUUCUCUUCAACCCCUCGUUCUCUUGUUCUUCCUCCUUGCCCUUUUCUCACUUUCUGUCGCUUCUCUGGUUUUCACGUGAAAAACCCUUUUUACCAAAUGGAACUCCUUAUAUAUAUUCCAACUUUAUUAUUCCAAUAAUAAUAAUUCCAAAUAAUAUUCCAAUAAUAAUCCCAUUAUUUAAUUAAAUUAAUAAAUAUACUAUUAACUUAAUUUAAAUAAUUAUCAUAUUUUAUCGGGGUAUUACAGGGGUGAAUUAGGACUUUAUAAAUUUUAUUCUGAUUUGGUGGAUAAAGUUUCUUUUCUUUUCUGGAUUGAUAAGAUAAUGGAAGCGGUAAAGAGCAGAAAGUAAAGAACACCAGGAAUUAUACUGGUUCCCCUCACAAUUUGAGAGUACUCCAGUCCCCUUACAAUGUGUAAGAGAUUUUAUUAUUGUUAGAUCUCCUAAAGCAAUCCUCUAACUAAGUGAUCAAGAACAAUCCUCUUGAAAACUUAACUCACAAGAAAAGAAAACAAUCUUUCCUUUUCUUGACACUUAUAUCCAACAAUCCUGGAUGAUAAGCAACACACAUAAAACCAAACAAUCCUUGGUACUUAGCAUUUUCCAAAAUAAUUUUGAAUGAAUAUGAAUAAUUGUAUUGGACAAGACUUUAAUCAAUUGACUAUAAUCUUCUUCUCUUUCAAUAUGAAGGUUCAAGACAAAAUAAUCUCUAAGUGCUCAAGAGUACUUUUGAAGAAAUUGAUAUGAAAAUUCUAUUUCAAAAGUAUCUGAAUAUGAAAAUAUAGAUGAAAAUGAAUGUAUAGAGAUUUUGUAAAUUGAUUUGAAAGAGGUGAAUUUGAAAUGAAAAUAUAAAUAAUAUUUAUAGUAUGAAUGCAUCCCUUCAAACAUAACAUGGCAAUGGUUAAAAGAGAAAUAUGAGAUUUGUUGAUGAAAGGAUGUAAGGUUUUGCCAUGAAGAGUUAUGAUGAAUUGGUGCAAAAAGUGGUGAAAUAAAAUUUUAGAUUUUUCAAAAAUUUCCCAGCAUCAAUCGAUUGACUCUCAUAACCAAUCGAUUGACAUAACCAAAAAACUGAAAAAUACACUAAGAUCAAUCGAUUGAUAUACAACACCUAUCGAUUGGUCCAGCUUUGAAAAUGAAAAAUGCUAAAACAAAAAGUUUGAUCAAUCGAUUGCAAUAUAGCAUCAAUUGAUUGACACAGGCAAAACUUUGAAAAUUUUCUAAGUUAAAAAACUUUUGAAAAUGCAAUGUUUUAAACAUCAUUUUAAAACAAAAAAUCAUGAUAAAAAAAGUUUUAAAAUGAUCAUAUGAUGUAUGAUAAAAACUUUUGAGCACUAGGAGUAUAUUGUCAAGAAUUCCAUAUACCUUUACUAGAUCCAUGAAAAACUUGAGCAAUGUUAAAAUGAUCUUCCUUUUCAUUAUUUUGAUAUGGAGGGCUUGAUAUGUUGUCUUCAUCAAAAUCUUGUAGGAAGCUUGUCUUCACAUUCUCCCCCUUUUUGAUGAUGACAACCAAUCUUGAAGCUUGAACUCAUACUCCCCAUAUCUCUUGAAAGUACUCAAAUGAAAAACUCCCCCUGCAUAAAACAACACAAGCAAAACACACAUGCAUACAUCUUCUCCCCCUAUGUCAUGAUCAAAAAUAAGGGAAAAGAACACAAUAAAAUCUAAGAGAAAAAUAAACAUUAAAACACACAAAGAUUUUCAAAUGUUACAACACAAAGAACCAAAUAAGUGAUGCAUAACAUAAAACUAGUAUGACAAAAGACAGAAUUGAAGAAGAACAAGUCAUAAAAAUACCACAAGAGAUCCAAUCACUGAUUAUUGUUCCCAUGAUUUGACCCACCACCUUGAUAACCACAUUGAGAAAACUCCCAACGAUCCAUCCUUGAAGAUAAAUGACCAAUCUCGGUCAUAACAUCCGUUCGGAACCCUUGAAGAUAUUCCAUAAUCAUUUGAUUGGAGGGUUGAUCCAGUUGAUCUGCUGAAGGAGGGUUAAAGUCUUCAUCACUAUGGACUUCAGGUUGAGAUUCUUCAUCAUCAUUGUCUAGGUAUUUUACCUCAUGGGUCUGAUGAUUGUAGAUAACUCCCAUCUUCCUAUAGACCUGCUUGAUACUAAUCAUGAAGGAAGGUUUUUCCAAUGAGAAGCACAGUUCAUUCUCCAUGUUGAUGUUGAAAUGACGAAAAAUCUUGGUCAAGAAAUAUGCAUAUGGCAGACCCUCAACAUAUUCAUCAUGGGACAUCAUAUGAGAAAUAAUUGUAUGCCCCCAAUCAACACGAAAAUUAUUUUUGAUGGCAUAUAGGUGCAUCAUUUCCGGAUCUGUUAUAGUGCAGUGAUUUGAGAAUCUAGACACAAUAACAUAAACCAGAAAAUAGUGCAACAUUCUAUCAUCAAUAGAGAACUUUGCUAGGGAACAGUAAACACGCUCCGGGUUAUCUCCUCCAAAACUCUUCUUCCUCUUGUUGUAAAACUGAUGCUCAGACAAACGACUCAAACUAUAGUAGAAAGCAUGUUUUCUAUAGUCUUCCCACGGAGCCUUUGUGCCAACAAACUUGUGACCACCAGUAGGAAUUUCAAGAAUAACACUUAAAUUAGAAGCCUUCAUAGAGAUCGGAACUCCUUUCACCACAAAUGUUAGUUUCCCUUUCUUCUUCACCAUGUUGGAAUAAAACACUUUGACCAAUUCAGGGUAAAAAUUUGUAUUGUAACCAAUGAGGUCACUCAAUCCCAAUUCCUCAAAAAUAGUAGGAAAACUAAACACAUCUUCAGGAAAAGAAACAAAAGAGCCAUACUUUGGCUUCAUUAUUUUCUUUUGGAAGAAGUAAGUCUCGUACCUUUCCUGUUGACUUUUGGUGGUAAAAAGCCUUGACAAAUCUAGAGGGCCUCUAGAACUAGAAACAUUUCCCUUGCCUUUAGAUUUAUGUUGAGAGGCCAUGAAGGUUGCUUGGAGAAAAACAAGGGAUUGAAGGAGAAAGAAAAAGCCUUUGAGUGAAUAAGACAAAUCAUGUAGAAUGCUGAAGAUUUUCAUGAAGAGAGAUGUGGUUUUAUGGUGGUAAAGUGUAGUAAUGAGAAGAAUCAAGUGGUUGGACCAAGAAAAUAAAGAGCAAUGAAUAGAAAUAAAGUGACAUAAAGAGCUUUUAACAAGACUUGGUAAAUAACACUUACUUGAAAAUAGGAAAAGGAGAAGGAAUGGGAGAAAAAAGUGGUAAAAGACAAAAAUGAAUAAAUGAAAUAUGGAAGAGUGUAUCAGUAGAUAUAACAGGAGGCACAUGUGAAGAAAUAAAGUGAGAAAAAAAUAGGAGAGAAAUGAUGUGCAUGCUGAACACAUAAAACAAAAAAAUUUAAAGACCAAUCGAUUGGCAUAGUGAAAAUUUUGAAAAAAUAAGAGGACCAAUCGAUUGAUAUUAAGGAUUCAAUCGAUUGGUUGAUGAAAUAAAUUAAAAAAAAUAAAAAAAUAAGGAAUCAAUCGAUUGAUAUAAGGAUGUAAUCAAUUGAAUGAACUUACUGUAAAACAAAAAUUGAGAAAUUAAGAUGGACCAAUCGAUUGACACAAGACCAACAAUCGAUUGACACUAAACAAAUUUUGAUAAAUGUUUAAAAUUAACACAUCAGCAAACAUACUUAUUAAAUUAAAAACAUUUUCAAUUACAUUUAAACAAUUAAUUACUAAAUAUUAUGAGAAAGAGUGCACCUUUAAAUUUGAAUUGAUGUGUUUUUGAUGAGUUAUAUAUCACACUCAUCUAGAAUCCCAAGUUCCCUUCGAAUUUUGUAAAACAGUUCCCGUGCCAAAGGAUUUUUGAAGAUGUCGGCAAGUUGAUUAUGAGUAUCCACAAAUGUGACUUUGACAUCUCCUUAAACCACGUGGUCACGAAGAAAAUGAUGUUGAAUGUCAAUAUGUUUGGUUCUUGAGUGCAUGACCGGAUUCUUUGUAACGUUUAUCGCACUUGUGUUGUCACAACAAAGAGGAAUGCAUCCAAGCUCGAGUUCGUAUUCACGAAGUUGUUGCUUAAGCCAAAGUAUUUGAGCGCAACAGCUACCUGCUGCUAUGUAUUUCGCUUCGACAGUGCUAAGAGAAACACACACUUGUUUCUUGCAAGUCCAAGAUACUAAUGCAUUUCCAAGGAUGUGACAUGUACCACUAGUACUUUUUCAAUCAAUUUUACUUCCUGCAUAAUCAGCGUCAGAAUAACCAACUAAUUUGCAAAUACUACCUUUAGGAUACCAUAGGCCGGCAUUUAUUGUUCCCUUGAGAUACUUCAUGAUCCUCUUAACAGCGGUGAGAUGUGAUUCUUUUGAAUUGGCUUGAAAACAAGCACAAAGACACACGCUGAACAUAAUAUCAGGACGACUUACCGUCAAAUAAAGUAAGGAACCAAUCAUACCUCGAUACUUUGUUAUGUCAAUCGAAACACCUGAUUCAUUUUGAUCAAUAUAAGAUCCGGAUCCCAUUGGAGUAGACAUUGCCUUGCAACUAUCCAUGUCGAAUCUUUUUAAUAACUCUUUGCAGUACUUCGAUUGGUUUAUGGAAAUGCAAUCCUUUAGUUGCUUAAUUUGAAGUCCAAGAAAAUAGUUCAUCUUACCCAUCAUGGACAUCUCGAAUUCUCCUUGCAUCAUCGAUGAAAAUUCUUCACACAUUUCUUUGUUUGUUGAGCCGAAAAUGAUGUUGUCAACGUAGACUUGAAGCA
rnacentral:lncRNA from 1 species